rnacentral:rRNA from 1 species
AGAGUUUGAUCCUGGCUCAGGACGAACGCUGGCGGCGUGCCUAAUGCAUGCAAGUCGAGCGACGCGCACUACGGUGCGACGGAGCGGCGAACGGGUGAGUAACACGUGAGCAACCUGCCCUGAAGACCGGAAUAGCCCGGGGAAACCCGGUGUAAUGCCGGAUACACUCCCGAUACCGCAUGGUAUGGGAGAAAACGCCUUUGUGCUUCAGGAUGGGCUCACGGCCUAUCAGCUAGUUGGUGAGGUAACGGCUCACCAAGGCGACGACGGGUAGCUGGUCUGAGAGGACGAUCAGCCACACUGGGACUGAGACACGGCCCAGACUCCUACGGGAGGCAGCAGCAGGGAAUAUUGCGCAAUGGGCGAAAGCCUGACGCAGCGACGCCGCGUGGGGGAUGAAUGCCUUCGGGUUGUAAACCCCUUUCAGGAGGGAAGAAAUUGACGGUACCUCCAAAAGAAGCCCCGGCCAACUACGUGCCAGCAGCCGCGGUAAGACGUAGGGGGCAAGCGUUGUCCGGAAUCAUUGGGCGUAAAGGGCUCGUAGGCGGCUCGGUAAGUUGAUCGUGAAAUCCCGGAGCUCAACUCCGGAACUGCGGUCGAUACUGCCGUGGCUAGAGUCAGGUAGAGGAGAGUAGAAUUCCCGGUGU